rnacentral:lncRNA from 1 species
ACCAAAAUGCUGAUAGACAUAUGGACUGUGAAAGCCAGGCUGAUGAAAUCUCAGAUGGAAAUGAGGAACUUAUUGGGAACUGGAGUAAAGGUCACGCUUGUUAAAUCCUAAGAAACAACUUGGCUGCAUUGUAUUCAUGCCCUAGGGAUCUGUGGAAGUUUGACCUUAAGAGUGAUGACUUAGGACAUCUGGUGGAAGAUACUUCUAAGCAGACAUUUCUAAGGUGUGACCUGGUUGCUUCUAACAGUCUAUGCUCUGCUUCAAGGAGUGCCCUGGGAAGGCCUCCCAACCCCACACCUGUCCUGUUGGCCAAGGCGAGCUCCAUGCCAUGUGGCAUCUCUGCCGCUGGCCACCUGUGAUAGCAGCAGCAGAUAGGCCAGGUCUACCCAGGUGGCCUCCCUCACCCUGAGAAUAUAAAUUAACAGGCCGGUCUUCAUGACAUGGGACAAAAUGAGACAAGAAAUCGUUCCUCCUACCCCUGAGACGAAUGCA